rnacentral:lncRNA from 1 species
GGUCACCUAUUUUUUCAAAUUGAUUAUAGAAUCAUGUUAUCAAGUAUUGUAUUUAGAACACUAUUAGAUCGUCUUAUUGGGAUUUAAAGCAAGUAUUUACUGUAGAGAUGCCUUGAAGAGGACUAUCUUUACAAACAGAAUUUCUUAAACUGCAAACCAGGUGUUUAUCCUGUCCCUCAGACACUGAAAGCAGAAUUGCAUGGGAGCAAGUGAUCAUUACUGGACUGAAAGUCCCUAAAUUCACAUUACUUUGGCUAAGCUUUGAGCCAACAAGCGAUUUAAACUGAAGAUGGCUGGUAUUUGCUAGUACAGACCCAUUUCACAUCCAGUUAGACUCCAAUUUAGAGAUUUCUUUUUCUUUUCCUCUAUGCCAAGCAGUGAUGGAAGAUUUACUUGGUAAGUUUGUGAGGUACUUCAGGAAGUUUCCUCACAGCUUUUGGAAGGAGUAGACAGCAAUGAAGGGUGUCAUGUCUUUUAACUGGCCUGAUACCUUCACUUAAGGUAUAAGCUGGUCAAGGACUUGGUCUUGAGAUGCCAGGACUCAGUUUUCUUCUCUAAGCUCUUCAGUCUUCUAAACACUAGAUUCUGAUCUCUCAUCAAAACUAGCAGAGCUGUUUAUUUGGAGGCAUGGUCCUGGCACUUCCCACCAUCCUUUGCAGUCCAUUCAAACUGAAGCAGGUAGGUGAAUUGUUCUACCUAGUACCUGAACGUGGCUGGAGAAUUAAGAAUUGAUCAAAGAAGUUCUCUGCUACCACAAUAGAUAUCCAGCACCAUUAACCAGAGUUUGUGUUUUAUUCACAAGAAAAUCUAGCAUUCCCUAAAACAUGCACACAUUAUUUUUUUAGAAACAAUUCUGAUAAAUUAUUAUUAUGAUUAUUAUUAUCAUUUUAGUCUUUUGUCUUUUUAGGGCCACACAAGGCUAGGGGUCGAAUCGCUACAGCCACAGCAACGUGAGAUCAGAGCCACAUCUGCAACCUACACCACACCACAUGGCAAUGCUGAAUCCUUAACCACUGAGUGGUACCAGGGAUCAAACCUGUGUCCUCAUGGAUACUAUUCAGGUUUGUUAACCGCUGAGCCAUGAGAACUCCAGAUAAAUUCUAAUAAACUUGGUGACUUUGUCAUCCAACCCAUAACAUAAUGGAAGUAGUUAAAUUAACAGGCACUACUAGAAAUUAGUAAGUUGACAACCAAGAAGGGCACUUGACAAAGGAGGAAACCAUAUGAGAAACCAAAUAAACUCAUUAGACAUUCAUUCCACUGCACACCAGAUAAUCCUAAGUCGUUCAUUAAACCUGAAGGCAUUUCAACAACAUGAGUUUAUAAAAAAAAGACCGCAAGUCAUCAAGAAAAGAUCUAAAAUGUGCUGAUGCUUAGAGGUUUAAGCUUAAGUAAAAUGGAAAUUUACUGAUGUGAGAAACAUGCCUGAUAAUACUAAAAAAAUUUAAUUUUAUUGCAUGUAAUUCAGGCUGUACCCAAAUCUGCAUAACUUGACACUAUUUGUGCUAGUCAAGCUCAGUGAUUCCUGCCUGGUUGUUCCUUUUCCUUUUCCACAUCUUUUUUCUUAUCAUUUUUUGGUUAAAAAAAAAAUAGUUGAUGGUGACAUGGCUUAGAGACUUAUAUCUGACUUAUAUAACGCAAACUGUGGAGAGAAAAAGCUUUAUUCUCCAUAAUACUGUAUUUCUUGGGAGUAGGAGUUAUCUUUAUUCUCCCAACAAGGGAACAACAAAUUUCUGGCUGUUAUUAAAACGUCUUCUGGGGAGUUCCUGUCAUGGCGCAGUGGAAACGAAUCCGACUAGGAACCAUGAGGUUGCAAGUUUGAUCCCUGGCCUCACUCAGUGGGUUAAGGAUCCAGUGUUGCAGUGAGCUGUGGUGUAGGUUGCAGACACAGCUUGGAUCUGGCAUUGCUGUGGCUCUGGCGAAGGCCUGUGGCUACAGCUCUGAUUAGACCCCUACCCUGGGAGCUUCCAUAUGCUGUGGGUGCAGCCCUAAAAAGACAAAAAGACCAAAAAAAUCAAUAAAUAAAUGUCUUCUGCAGGAUGUCUGUGGAAAGAAGGCUGACUUGGAGACUUUCAUUAUUUUAUUAAAGGUUUUCUCAGAACUGACGCAAUCCGAGAAUAAAAACUUUCAACCUUAGCAGAAUGCAUGUACUGUACUUUAAAUGAUUUUGUGCUGCCUCCUACCUCUUCCUGACAGAUGUAGGGUCAGAGUCACAAACUAGGAUAAUAAACAAUGUGUUUGUAAAGGAUGAUUCUGUGUUCUGUGAGCUUCUCACCUGUGCCCUUUGGAAUCACAGAGACAUCAUAGAUAUUGGUAAAAGGUUAGAGAACCAAAAGAGGCAGAUACUAACAAAGUUUUCAAAAGGGGAAAAGAGCAGAUUUCAGAAAUGAUCCACUCAUUUGUUUGACAUUAUUCCUCAGCAGAAUUUUGGAAUAAGUCACUACAUGGUUGUGAGUACAUGGAAAAGAAUCUGAUAAUCACCAGGAUGAUGUUUGUGGCAAAGAAUUAAGUAUGCCAAAUUACUCUUCUUUCACUUAUUUCAAACCUUUAUUAUAUUUAUGUGUCUGAUCAGUGAGAUAGAAUGUCGUUUGCCCCAAAUCAUAUGACCAGGUCUCUCAUAAUAUUCACAUGGUUAAGGUAGAGGAAAUUGAGUUGGAUUACACUCGACAUGUUAAAGAUGGUAGUUGAAUAGCCACACACCAAGAAUCUAAAAGAUCAGUGUUGGAGUUCCCAUUGCAGCUCAAGGGGUUACAAACCCUACCAGUAUCCAUGAGGAUGUGGUUUAAUCCCUGGCCUUGCUCAGUGGGUUAAUGAUUGGGCAUUGCUGUGAGCUGUGGUAUAGGUCACAGAUACAGCUUGGAUCUAGCAUUGCUGUGGCUGUAAUGAAGGCCGGAAGCUGCAGCUCCGAUUGACCCCUGGCCCAGGACUUCCAUAUGCCACAGGUGUAGCCACAGGAAAAUAAAAUGACAUCUUGCCAAGAAAGUGAAAAGAGGAGCUCCCUUGUAGCACAGUGGGUUAAGGAUUGGGGCACUGUCGCUGCAGCAACCUUGACUGCUGCUAUGGCACGGGUUUGAUCCCUGGCCUGGGAACUUCCACAUGC